rnacentral:rRNA from 1 species
AAUGAACACUGGCGGCGUGCCUAAUACAUGCAAGUCGAGCGAAUGGAUUAAGAGCUUGCUCUUAUGAAGUUAGCGGCGGACGGGUGAGUAACACGUGGGUAACCUGCCCAUAAGACUGGGAUAACUCCGGGAAACCGGGGCUAAUACCGGAUAACAUUUUGAACCGCAUGGUUCGAAAUUGAAAGGCGGCUUCGGCUGUCACUUAUGGAUGGACCCGCGUCGCAUUAGCUAGUUGGUGAGGUAAUGGCUCACCAAGGCAACGAUGCGUAGCCGACCUGAGAGGGUGAUCGGCCACACUGGGACUGAGACACGGCCCAGACUCCUACGGGAGGCAGCAGUAGGGAAUCUUCCGCAAUGGACGAAAGUCUGACGGAGCAACGCCGCGUGAGUGAUGAAGGCUUUCGGGUCGUAAAACUCUGUUGUUAGGGAAGAACAAGUGCUAGUUGAAUAAGCUGGCACCUUGACGGUACCUAACCAGAAAGCCACGGCUAACUACGUGCCAGCCGCCGCAGUAA